rnacentral:rRNA from 1 species
AUUGAACGCUGGCGGCAGGCCUAACACAUGCAAGUCGAACGGUAACAGGAAGCAGCUUGCUGCUUCGCUGACGAGUGGCGGACGGGUGAGUAAUGUCUGGGAAGCUGCCUGAUGGAGGGGGAUAACUACUGGAAACGGUAGCUAAUACCGCAUAAUGUCGCAAGCCCAAAGAGGGGGACCUUCGGGCCUCUUGCCAUCGGAUGUGCCCAGAUGGGAUUAGCUUGUUGGUGGGGUAACGGCUCACCAAGGCGACGAUCCCUAGCUGGUCUGAGAGGAUGACCAGCCACACUGGAACUGAGACACGGUCCAGACUCCUACGGGAGGCAGCAGUGGGGAAUAUUGCACAAUGGGCGCAAGCCUGAUGCAGCCAUGCCGCGUGUAUGAAGAAGGCCUUCGGGUUGUAAAGUACUUUCAGCGGGGAGGAAGGGAGUAAAGUUAAUACCUUUGCUCAUUGACGUUACCCGCAGAAGAAGCACCGGCUAACUCCGUG